rnacentral:rRNA from 1 species
UACGUAGGGUGCGAGCGUUAAUCGGAAUUACUGGGCGUAAAGGGCGCGUAGGCGGCACAGCAAGUCGGGAGUGAAAGCCCGGGGCUCAACCCCGGAACGUCUUUCGAAACUGCUGAGCUCGAGUGCGGAAGAGGCAACUGGAAUUCCCAGUGUAGCGGUGAAAUGCGUAGAUAUUGGGAAGAACACCUGAGGCGAAGGCGGGUUGCUGGGCCGACACUGACGCUGAGGCGCGAAAGCCAGGGGAGCAAACGGG